rnacentral:rRNA from 1 species
UACGGAGGGUGCGAGCGUUGUCCGGAAUCACUGGGCGUAAAGGGCGCGUAGGCGGCCUGAUAAGUAGGGGGUGAAAUCCUGCGGCUUAACCGCAGGGCUGCCUUCUAAACUGUCGGGCUCGAGCACAGUAGAGGCAGGUGGAAUUCCCGGUGUAGCGGUGGAAUGCGUAGAGAUCGGGAAGAACAUCAGUGGCGAAGGCGGCCUGCUGGGCUGUUGCUGACGCUGAGGCGCGACAGCAUGGGGAGCGAACAGG